UACGUAGGGGGCAAGCGUUAUCCGGAAUUACUGGGUGUAAAGGGUGAGUAGGCGGCAUGAUAAGUAAGAUGUGAAAGCCCGCAGCUUAACUGCGGGAUUGCAUUUUAAACUAUUGAGCUAGAGUACAGGAGAGGAAAGCGGAAUUCCCAGUGUAGCGGUGAAAUGCGUAGAUAUUGGGAAGAACACCAGUGGCGAAGGCGGCUUUCUGGACUGAAACUGACGCUGAGGCACGAAAGCGUGGGGAGCGAACAGGAUUAGAUACC
rnacentral:rRNA from 1 species